AGAUCCUAGUCUUAGAUACCUCUCUCACCACACAGCUGGAGCAACACGUCCUAAUAAUCUACCACUUGGUAUUGCUCCAGAUGGUAGUCAUUAUCCUCCUUCAAUAUCCUAUCAAAACACUCCUCUACCUCUUGACGUGAGAGUACCGCCCACAUCAAGAAUGUUCCGUCAGUCGCCUGGUUCUGAUUCGUCAGCUGAUGGUCUGACACCAAAUUAUUUUAAAGUAUCUGCUAGUGCUGAUGAUCUAACUUCUGGUGGUGAGGAUCGUAACUCUAUCCAUUCCUUUGGGUCUAAUCACAGUGGGGGAGGAGGAGGGGGCGGGGCUAAGAUUAAUUUUGAAUUAUCAGCAGCUGCUAACACCCAAAACACCGUUGUCUGAUAAUAAAGUACACAAUAAUACCCACUGAUAAUAAUUAAUAAUAAUAAUUAUGACUUGAUAUUGUGAUUAUAAUAUACUCUUUAUCAUUCUUCCUCUCUCUCUCUCUUUCUUGGAACUACUCGUGUUGUUUGCUUGUCUUAUUGCUUUAAUAACAUUACUAUUAUUA
rnacentral:lncRNA from 1 species